ensembl:snoRNA
UCCAAGGCCUCACUUCUUUGGGCCUAAAAAAAUACAAUUAAGGUAGAGUCCUUGAAGAAUAACUGCUGACCUUAUUCUCUGGCUGUGGGCCUUGUGGCAUAGUCAGUCACCAGGUUAGUGACAUUC